GCCAGUGGCCUGAAUCCUCAGCUGAAGAGGCAAAGCGUCUGAAGGAAGCAUGGGUGGGGUUUGGCUCCUUUUUUGUGUUGUGGGGCAGCUCAAGCCUUUUUCCUUUGCAUCUUGCAGGAGGCUCUGGAGAUGUUGCUCUCGGGGGGGCAUCCAACAGCUCAAGGCCAUCCCUUGGCUGAUUAUCAUUACGCAGGCUCUGAUAGAUGGACAGCUGAGGAGAAGGAGGCCUUCCAAAAGGCUUUCCACACCUACGGCAAGGAUUUCCAUCUCAUCCAGAAGCAGAUCCCAAGUAAGACCGUGGCACAGUGUGUGGAGUAUUACUACUGCUGGAAAAAAGA